rnacentral:rRNA from 1 species
CCCUUAGAUGUUCUGGGCCGCACGCGCGCUACACUGAUGCAUUCAACGAGUUUCUUCCUGGUCCGAGAGGAAUGGGUAACCUUUUGAAAGUGCAUCGUGAUAGGGAUAGACUAAUGCAAUUAUUGGUCUUCAACGAGGAAUUCCUAGUAGACGUAGUUCAUCAGACUGCAUCGAUUACGUCCCUGCCCUUUGUACACACCGCCCGUCGCUCCUACCGAUUGAAUGCUCAGGUGAGCCAUUCGGACUUUCAUCAUGCUGGUUUCCAGUUUUGAUGAAGGAAAGUCUUGCGAACCUUAUCAUUUAGAGGAAGGAGAAGUCGUAACA